GAGCAGUCACGCAGCUCUAGGGCAUGCGAUAGCUGGGGGAUACCGCGUCAAAGAAUUCGGUUCGGAUCUGUCUGAGUUGGCUUGAAGAGACAAGCACUCGACUCUAAGAGGAUGCUACACCGGAGGAUUCGGCUCGAGCCUGGCAGAGUUGACGCGAAGAGGCGAAAUAGGCGACUAGCCGAUUCUUAGGGGCUGUUGUGCCGGAGGAUCUGGCUCGGGCCGAAUGGGGUUAGCUCGAAG